ACUGCAGUCACGAAAGCUUUAAAUCAAAAUUUAAAGUCUGAUGUUUCGUUUCAUAAUGCCGUCGUACAUUGUACUCUUUCAUCACGGCAACACUCUCUUUACAAAUCAAACAAACACACUUCCCCUUGGUUUCUAUGGAAAAAAAAUCAUUU